rnacentral:rRNA from 1 species
AUUGAACGCUGGCGGCAGGCUUAACACAUGCAAGUCGAACGAGUGGCGGACGGGUGAGUAAGGCUUGGGCAUCUAGCUUAUGGAGGGGGAUAACUACGGGAAACUGUAGCUAAAACCGCGUACCAUAGGAUGAGCCGAAGUGGGAUGAGGUAGUUGGUGAGGCAAAGGCUUACCAAGCCGACGAUCUCUAGCUGGUCUGAGAGGAUGAACAGCCACACUGGGACUGAGACACGGCCCAGACUCCUACGGGAGGCAGCAGUGGGGAAUAUUGCGCAAUGGGGGCAACCUGACGCAGCCAUGCCGCGUGAAUGAAGAAGGCCUUCGGGUUGUAAAGUUCUUUCGGUAGCGAGGCGUUAACUACAGAAGAAGCACCGGCUAACUCCGUGCCAGCAGCCGCGGUAAUUC